UAUAUACAGGGCAUUACGGUACAGAGUCAAUGUGGAGGCUAUAUGCAGGGGGUACCGGUACAGAGUAAAUGUGGAGGCUAUAUACAGGGGGUACCGGUACAGAGUCAAUGUGGAGGCUAUAUACAGGGUAUUACGGUACAGAGUCAAUGUGGAGGCUAUAUACAGGGUAUUACGGUACAGAGUCAAUGUGGAGGCUAUAUACAGGGGGUACCGGUACAGAGUCAAUGUGGAGGCUAUAUACAGGGGGUACCGGUACAGAGUCAAUGUGGAGGCUAUAUACAGGGGGUACCGGUACAGAGUCAAUGUGGAGGCUAUAUACAGGGGGUACUGGUACAGAGUCAAUGUGGAGGCUAUAUACAGGGGGUACCGGUACAGAGUCAAUGUGGAGGCUAUAUACAGGGGGGUACGGUACAGAGUCAAUGUGGAGGCUAUAUACAGGGGGUACCGGUACAGAGUCAAUGUGGAGGCUAUAUACAGGGGGUACCGGUACAGAGUCAAUGUGGAGGCUAUAUACAGGGGGUACCGGUACAGAGUCAAUGUGGAGGCUAUAUACAGGGGGUACCGGUACAGAGUCAAUGUGGAGGCUAUAUACAGGGUAUUACGGUACAGAGUCAAUGUGGAGGCUAUAUACAGGGGGUACCGUACAGA
rnacentral:lncRNA from 1 species